rnacentral:rRNA from 1 species
UACGAAGGGGGCUAGCGUUGCUCGGAAUUACUGGGCGUAAAGCGCACGUAGGCGGUCUUUUAAGUCGGUGGUGAAAUCCUGGAGCUCAACUCCAGAACUGCCUUCGAUACUGGAAGACUUGAGUCCGGGAGAGGUGAGUGGAACUGCGAGUGUAGAGGUGAAAUUCGUAGAUAUUCGCAAGAACACCAGUGGCGAAGGCGGCUCACUGGCCCGGUACUGACGCUGAGGUGC